GUGCUUGCUGUGUUUAAGGGAGGUGUUCGUGUUGGAGAUGGGACAGGUGAAGACAGAAUGAGACAUCUUCCUCAAUGGGAGACAGAACACGGGGAACCUGGGAGCUUCAAGGAUGACAUCUGUCUCUCUCUUCUCUCCCAAAGCAACACCAGUCUCCCACUAAACUCUGAGGCAAGGAAGAAGAAAGGACUGAAAAGGAGAUGACUUUUCUGCUGCCCUCAGAUUCUGGGGCUUACAUGGAGCUAGGGUAGACCUAGUGCUGGCUGGGGUUUAGCACUGGGUUGCCCUGUAGUCCCAGGACAAAUGGAAAUCUCUCUGUUCCCCUAGCUGUCUCCUCCUGCUUUCAGUGGAACCCACAGAAGAUAGCCCAGAAUUGAGACUUGCAACUUGUGG
rnacentral:lncRNA from 1 species